rnacentral:rRNA from 1 species
CGGAGGAUCCAAGCGUUAUCCGGAAUCAUUGGGUUUAAAGGGUCCGUAGGCGGGUUUAUAAGUCAGUGGUGAGAGCCCAUCGCUCAACGAUGGAACGGCCAUUGAUACUGUAGAUCUUGAAUUAUUAGGAAGUAACUAGAAUAUGUAGUGUAGCGGUGAAAUGCUUAGAGAUUACAUGGAAUACCAAUUGCGAAGGCAGGUUACUACUAAUGGAUUGACGCUGAUGGACGAAAGCGUGGGUAGCGAACAGGAUUAGAUACCCUGGUAGUCCACGCCGUAAACGAUGGAUACUAGCUGUUCGGAGCAAUCUGAGUGGCUAAGCGAAAGUGAUAAGUAUCCCACCUGGGGAGUACGUUCGCAAGAAUG